rnacentral:misc_RNA from 1 species
AAAGAGGAAUUAAGGCAGAAGAAUCUUUUCAGUGUUAGUGAUUGCAAAAUGUACUGGCAAAGCAAUGGGGACUAUCUUGCUGUAAAGGUUGAUCGUUAUACAAAAUCAAAGAGGACUACAUACACAGGCUUUGAGCUUUUCAGAAUAAAAGAGCGGGACAUACCCAUUGAGGUAUUGGAGCUUGACAAUAAGAAUGACAAGAUCAUUGCCUUUG